AUGGCGACCGGCGCACGGGGUGAGUAACGCGUAUCCAACCUGCCCUUUACUAUGGGACAGCCCGUCGAAAGGCGGAUUAAUACCGUAUGUUGUCAUGUUGAUGCAUAUUUUCAUGACCAAAGGCUUCGGCCGGUAAAGGAUGGGGAUGCGUCUGAUUAGCUUGCCGGCGGGGUAACGGCCCACCGGGGCGACGAUCAGUAGGGGUUCUGAGAGGAAGGCCCCCCACAUUGGAACUGAGACACGGUCCAAACUCCUACGGGAGGCAGCAG
rnacentral:rRNA from 1 species